CAUCUUCAUUGACAUCUUGGUGAAUUCUUCCACCCAUUGGAAUUUCCUCAUGGCAGGUGCAAGCAAUAUCAUCAAAGGGUCCAGGAUCUUCGACAUUUUGUAAGAUGAUAUUUGUGUGCUCAGGAUGAUCAACAGUAAGAGAGUUGGAUGCAGUAAUUCCCUCUUCUUUCUUGUCUGUACAGUAUUCUUUACUUUCUGCUGUGGAAAACGCUAAGAGCUGCUGUUUCUCUUUCAGACACAGAUGAGGAUGUGAUACCUCUUCAAGCAUAUUCUCACCAUCGCUUUCAGAAUUGUUGGUAUCUUCAUCAUCUCCACCAUGAAUGCUUUCUCCAUUUAAGUCAGCUUUUGAUGCAGCCAUUUUUCUGAUUGCUCUGUUCUUAUGGGCUGUUUCUGGAACUGCAGCAUCUGUGUGGCAAUCCAUUUUCCUUGCCCGCAUUCCUUUCUUUGUUUUACUAGAACGUUUUGCUCUGUGAAAGGAUUGACUUUCCAAUUUUAUACUUCUCUGGGUCUUCAACUGACGUCGCCUCAUUGAUACAAAGCGUUUUAGUGAAGGUAAAGCAGAGUGGCGAUGGCCAUGAAGUGAGCAAUAACUAUAUGUGCACACUUUCAUGGCUGAAAUUCCUUCAGAUUCACUUCCUCCUGGUAGAAGCUCAAGACGGUCAGGAAACUUGGAAUCCUUGAGAACUGAAGAACACGUUGCUUUUUGUAUGCUUGAGUAGAGCAUUUGAGAGCGUUUCUUCAUGGAAGGCCUCUUUGUUCUUAUACUGUUCAUUUUUGUUAAGAUCCGUAGAGGUCUCAAAGAAGAUGUUCUGGUUAUGACCCUCAUCGAUUUGUUACCAGGAGCUAAACUUGGCUUUAAAUUACUUAAACUUCUCUUAUUUCUACCAUUGCUACUCAAACUAGAUUCAAAAUGACAAGAACUUGCCUGAAAAUGGGCGUUCUUUACAUCACAAUAGCUCCUUUCCUUCAAUUGAUUAGAUGACAUAUCUGCAUCAUUUGGUAAAACAAUGGAAGAUCGAUUUCCAGCCUUGAUUGAUCUGGACUUCUUCAGUUUCCUCUUCAUUUCAGAUCCCCCAGAAGACUUCCUCAUCAAAGAUCUCCUGAAUUUUGUACUAGACAACCUUGUCAAACUCUUUAGAGGCUUAAAACUAGAUCGCCUAACCAAAGUUCUUGAUGAUUUCUGUAAACUCUCCUUCUUUGCAUCAGAAGAAGUGGUGGUCUUCAUAUAAUUAGGCGAUGCAUCUGAUAUUUCCACCUUAUCAGGCUGCAGUGAACUUGCUGCAUCACUUGCCAAGGUAGAGAGAUAAUCAAGUUGAACUCUUGCUUGUCUUGUGGUGAGCUUCAAACUUGGCAGUCUCACAAGCUUGAUUGAUCUCAACUUCUUCACUUUCCUCCUUGGCUCUGUUGCUCCCUUGUUCUUGAUAUCUUGAUUCUGAUCACACGAGGAUGAUGAUUCAGUGGUCACAGACAAGCUUUCAGAUGUGGUGGAAUAAUCAGAAUCUGCUUCAUUUACAAGCUCACUAGGAUUCAUUCUUUGAAUCUUGAAGAGGACAACUGGUUUAUUUUCAAUUGGCAAGGAAUGGAAAAACAAGAGAGUAUUCUUUUUUAUCUUAAACUUGAGACGGAGAAUUCUGGUUUCGUAGGGGUUAGCAGAGUGCCACCCUAGAAGAAAGCUUAUGUAAAGAAAGAUUUCAAGAUUACAAACAUUGGAGACUCCAAAGCCAAAACUUCUCUGGGCUACAGUGGCUGGUUUUUCCUUUCGUAAGCUUUCUUUUUAUUUUAUUAUUUUAUUUUGUGAGAAGCAGCUUAGUGGCUUACUUUUAAAUUUCAGCUUUUA
rnacentral:misc_RNA from 1 species